rnacentral:rRNA from 1 species
CGGCAGGCCUAACACAUGCAAGUCGAGCGCUACCUUCGGGUGGAGCGGCGGACGGGUUAGUAACGCGUGGGAACGUACCCAGAUCUAAGGAAUAGCCACUGGAAACGGUGAGUAAUACCUUAUACGCCCUUCGGGGGAAAGAUUUAUCGGAUUUGGAUCGGCCCGCGUUAGAUUAGAUAGUUGGUGGGGUAAUGGCCUACCAAGUCUACGAUCUAUAGCUGGUUUUAGAGGAUGAUCAGCAACACUGGGACUGAGACACGGCCCAGACUCCUACGGGAGGCAGCAGUGGGGAAUCUUGGACAAUGGGCGCAAGCCUGAUCCAGCCAUGCCGCGUGAGUGAUGAAGGCCUUAGGGUCGUAAAGCUCUUUCGCCAGAGAUGAUAAUGACAGUAUCUGGUAAAGAAACCCCGGCUAACUCCGUGCCAGCAGCCGCGGUAAUACGGAGGGGGUUAGCGUUGUUCGGAAUUACUGGGCGUAAAGCGUACGUAGGCGGAUUAGUCAGUCAGAGGUGAAAUCCCAGGGCUCAACCCUGGAACUGCCUUUGAUACUGCUAGUCUUGAGUUCGAGAGAGGUGAGUGGAAUUCCAAGUGUAGAGGUGAAAUUCGUAGAUAUUUGGAGGAACACCAGUGGCGAAGGCGGCUCACUGGCUCGAUACUGACGCUGAGGUACGAAAGUGUGGGGAGCAAACAGGAUUAGAUACCCUGGUAGUCCACACCGUAAACGAUGAAUGCCAGUCGUCGGGCAGUAUACUGUUCGGUGACACACCUAACGGAUUAAGC